rnacentral:misc_RNA from 1 species
GAUGAAGAACGUAGCGAAAUGCGAUAAGUAAUGUGAAUUGCAGAAUUCAGUGAAUCAUCGAAUCUUUGAACGCACAUUGCGCCCGCCAGUAUUCUGGCGGGCAUGCCUGUUCGAGCGUCAUUUCAACCAUCAAGCCCCGGGCUUGUGUUGGGGACCUGCGGCUGCCGCAGGCCCUGAAAUGCAGUGGCGGGCUCGCUGUCACUCCGAGCGUAGUAGAUUUUCAUCUCGCUCAGGGCGUGCUGCGGGUUCCGGCCGUAAAAAGCCUUAUUUACCCAAGGUUGACCUCGGAUCAGGUAGGAAGACCCGCUGAACUUAAGCAUAUCAAUAAGCGGAGGA